rnacentral:ncRNA from 1 species
GCAAUAGAGGCGCGGAGUGCAGGGUACCUGUCGGAUGAGGUACGGCCCUUGAUGGCCGGCAGGGAAGGGGCGCUCCGCCGAAGGGGGGCGGCGUGCCCGAGCCGCGUCCUUGGCAGCACCGUGUAAGCGGCACUGUUGUCAUGCCCUUUGUGACAUGGAGCGCUAUUGGU